UGAGGAAUUUUGCGCAAUGGGAGUAAUCCUGACGCAGCAACGCCGCGUGGGUGAUGAAGGCCUUCGGGUCGUAAAGCCCUGUCAGGUGGGAAGAAUGUCCCGGGACUGAACAGGUUCCGGGAGUGACGGUACCACCAGAGGAAGCACCGGCUAACUCCGUGCCAGCAGCCGCGGUAAUACGAGUGGUGCAAGCGUUAUUCGGAAUAAUUGGGCGUACAGGGUGUGUAGGCGGCAUGUUAAGUCUGUUGUUAAAUUCUCCAGCCUAACUGGAGACAGGCAGCGGAAACUGGCGUGCUAGAGGGUGGAAGAGAGAAGUGGAAUUCUCGGUGUAGCGGUAAAAUGCGUAGAUAUCGAGAGGAACACCGAUGGCGAAGGCGGUUCUCUAGGCUAGUCCUGACACUGAGACACGAAAGCUAGGGGAGCAAACG
rnacentral:rRNA from 1 species